CUAAUGCCGAGCUUGAACAAAAGGAUAGGCACAAGGUAUUAGGGUUAUUCGCGCAACUCUCUCUGUUGGUUCACCGAUCCGCUACUACAAUCGUGCUUCACCAUCUCCAAUCGAUCCAUUCAGACAAUGCCUCGUAAAGCAGCUGAAAGGUGCAUUGCUUGCCGGACACUUGGUGACAGAAGGUGUUGGAAGGAACAUUGCUUCUGGGCGCCCUAUUUUCCAUAUGGGCAAAAGGAAGAAGAAUUCUCUAUGAUGCAUGAGAUAUUUGAUGCCGAUUUCGUGCGCGCCACUUUGUACAGAAUUCCUGACAACACACAAGAGGGUAAAGAGCAGAGGCAUAAAGCAGUUGAAUCGUUUGUAUGGGAGGCACGCAUUUGGAAGGAGAAUCCGGCAUUUCCCCCUCUGGCACACUUCCUAUCAGCGGUUGAGCGAGUGAAAGAGCUGCAGAGUAACAUUAAUAACAUCAUCAGUUUUAAAACCGAACCCUUUAUCAAACCGUAUGAGCUUCAAGUUGAAGAUUUUCAAGGUUCAACAGGUACGUUGAAUAUGAAGAUUGAGCCCCCAGUUUAUAAUGCAUAAUAAACCAAUAGUUUUGAUUCCUCAUCGAUACCCGCUGUUGUUGUAUAGACUGGCAUGGAAGAAGAAGAAGAAGUAGAGGAAAUAGACGAGGUAUCAAAAAUUAAAAGCUUGUUGCCAUGAAGGUUUAAAAGUGCAGAUAUCUGGUUUUUUUUUUACAAGGAAUCCAUAAUUUUUCAUUGAAAUGAGUUCAUUGCGAGUGAUUUCACCCAACCAAACACGAGAACGAGUAAUUCUCACCCUUAUUCGACUUUUUAAAUGUAAAUUAAAUACCCUGUAAAAUCAUUCA